AUGGGUGCUUUGAAAGGAUUGGGCAGAACAGACGUCAUGCAGAGCAGAUGUCAGGCUCUGCAUAAAGCUGCACUAUUCGGAAGAAGCGAGAUUGUCUUUCCUCACAGCUACGGCGCUGCGCCACUCUCAACACAGCCUGCUUUUUCCCCCAUUUACCUGGGCGGCUGCUGCUGUUUCUGCUGCUGCUGGGGCUGCUGCAGUCUCGCUGCCUGUGCUUCACCCUGGUUUGGCUGACUUGAGACUCACUCGUCUGCACAUUGCUAAGGAAGAAGAGCGAUGAAGCCACAUUUUUUUCUGUUGGUUCUGGAAGCAAAGGGUUGUGCUUUGUGGUGGUUUCAGGGUUUUCUUUGUUUUUUGGGAGGGGGAAAGGAGGCAUGUUCAUCUAGGAUGGGGUGGGUGAAAGCUUAAAGAAAUAUGAUGUAAAGUAAUCCAGUGCUCAACAAGGGCAUCAGCAGCAAGAAUCCAGCCUCUGCUGCUCCAGAGGAUUAACAUGGGGAAAGCCACAGAGCUGCAAUCGGGUUUCACCUCAGCGUUGUGCUGGAGAUGGAUAAAUAAGGUAUUGGUUGUGUCUGCCUGUUAAGGCAAAGCCACGGGAGGAAGAGCGAGAGAGCGAGUGAAAAUGUAGAGGAAGAAGAAAUGCUGUGUGCUGUUUGUCUGAUCUGUGCAUUCUCAUUGCAGAGAGGAUGGCAUAAUUAAGAAAGCAAUGUAUGGAUGGAGAGGCUGUAAAUUGUAGCUCGAACACUCCUGAUGCUGUCAGGGAGAGAACUGAUGAACUAGGUGGCUGCAGUGAUAUCCCCAGGGAAAACAGCAGCCAUACACUCUGUGCAUGUGUGUGUGUGCUUAUAUGUGUGAGAACAUGUACAGACAUGAAAGAAAGACAUUUCUGACCAAUUUACAGAGGAAGUCUACUGUUUUGAUGGGUCAGACUUGAUUUCAGCUUUUAUUUUCAACCGUAGCUCUACAUCUAUUUCCUGACUGAGAUGGCACUUUGCAAAUGCAGACGUAGGCAGAAUUAUUCUAAGAAAUGUGAAAGCAGAUCCUUUCUGUUUAACACCUUGAAGCACUGAAUCUUCUGCACUGCUGAGAGAAACUGUGUGUGUGUGGGGGGAGGUUCCUUUUCUCCAUCUUAAAAUCUUUAUAAACACAGCUGUAUUCAGUAUAGUGAAAAAUUCUAUACUGUAAAUAGAAAUGUGAUCAAUCUAAUCAAAAUAAAUGCAUCCCAGAUGACUUCUAGACCAGCUGGCUAUCACAGUCGUCAGAUGGCUAAAUGCUAAACUGAGCAUUUAUAGUCAGCAUUAUAUUUACAUUUUUUUCAGAAUUUCAAAAUCAGCCUCUAAUUAAAAAUGAUUCUUCCUCUAUUGGAAAUAGGCAACACUUGCAUUUGGCAGUGGAUUUAUCUGGAAUGUAUCUGGGGUUGUUGUAUUUUUAUUUUUAUUUUUUUUAUUUCUGCACAUGCAUCAGAGAGAUCAUGUUUUUAUAACAGGUAGCCUUGUCACCUUGCUGGCAUAUUGAGUUCAGCAGGCUGUUCAGAUUGGCCAAAUAUGAACAAUGCAAAAAUAGGGGAAACAAGUGCUGCAGUCAGGUAUUGGAGCUUGGCAUGGCUUUUAGCAGCUGC
rnacentral:lncRNA from 1 species